rnacentral:rRNA from 1 species
GUCAGAGGUGGAAGCGUGGUAACAUGUGGAGCUGACUGAUACUAAUCGUUCGAGGACUUAACCAAUUU